GUAAGGGAUCUUGCGCAAUGGGCGAAAGCCUGACGCAGCAACGCCGCGUGCCCGAUGAAGGCCUUCGGGUCGUAAAGGGCUUUUACGCGAGAAGAGAGCGGACGGUAUCGCGGGAAAAAGUGUCGGCUAACUACGUGCCAGCAGCCGCGGUAAAACGUAGGACGCGAGCGUUAUCCGGAGUGACUGGGCGUAAAGGGCGGGUAGGCGGCAGGACAAGUUGGGUGUGAAAUCUCCUGGCUCAACCGGGAGGGGGCACUCGAGACUGUCCGGCUGGGGUCUAGCAGAGGUGCGUGGAAUUCCGGGUGGAGUGGUGAAAUGCGUAGAGAUCCGGAGGAACACCAGAGGCGAAGGCGGCGCACUGGGCUGAGACCGACGCUGAACCGCGAAAGCCAGGGGAGCGAACGGGAUUAGAAACCCGGGUAGUCC
rnacentral:rRNA from 1 species